rnacentral:rRNA from 1 species
CAGCCGCGCGGUAAUACCGGCGGCCCGAGUGGCGGUCACUAUUAUUGGGCUUAAAGCGUCCGUAGCCGGGUUGGGAAGUCCUCCGGGAAAUCUGGCCGCUUAACGGUCAGAAUGCCGGAGGAUACUCCCAGCCUAGGGAGCGGGAGAGGCCGAGGGUAUUCCCGGAGUAGGGGUGAAAUCCUAUAAUCCCGGGAGGACCACCUGUGGGGAAGGCGCUCGGCUGGAACGCGUCCGACGGUGAGGGACGAAGGCCAGGGGAGCAAACCGGAUUAGAUACCCGGGUAGUCCUGGCUGUAAACGAUGCGGACUUUGUGUCGGACAAGCUAUGAGCUUGUCCGGUGCCGGAGGGAAACCGUUAAGUCCGCCGCCUGGGGAGUACGGCCGCAAGGCUGAAACUUAAAGGAAUUGGCGGG